AGUUCAAGAGUACGUGAAACCGUUUAGGGGUAAACCUGAGAAACCCGAAAGGUCGAAGGAAGAAAUUCAUUCGCGUUUCGACGCAGGCGUGGAACGUUGUCGUGCGACGGAAUUCACAUGUCUCGUGCGUGUUCUUCGGAAUUGCGUGCGAGAGUGAUUUUGCGCCCUUCGUUUUACGAACCGGCGACGAACGCGUGCACUUUUCUUCUGGUAGGACGUCGCGAUCCGUCGGGUGUCGGUCUACGACUUGCGGUGGAGACCGUUCGUCGUCGUUUCGUUACGACGCGCGAACGGACCCGUUUGUUAUCCGACCGACUCGCUCGACGGUAUACGUGUAAGGUCGGAGGCCGCUCUUUAGAAGCGUUCGACUCGUUGCAAGCGCGCCACGUGCGUCGGUACGCGGACCCGGUGCCGCGUCCGACUUCUGGUGACUGUUGGCGACAGAUGUUCUCGAACAGACCUCUUUUCGAUCUCGCAAGAGUGAAAAAUUGACCGAUCGGCGACGCUAUAGCUUUGGGUACUUUCAGGACCCGUCUUGAAACACGGACCAAGGAGUCUAGCAUGUACGCGAGUCAUUGGGAAUCACUAAACCUAAAGGCGUAAUGAAAGUAAAGAUCUUCCUCGCGAAGAUCGAGGGAAGACGAACGGCGGCGACGAC
rnacentral:rRNA from 1 species